rnacentral:rRNA from 1 species
UACAGAGGUCUCAAGCGUUGUUCGGAUUCAUAGGGCGUAAAGGGUGCGUAGGCGGCGCGGUAAGUCGGGUGUGAAAUCUUGGAGCUUAACUCCGAAACUGCAUUCGAUACUGCCGUGCUUGAGGACUGGAGAGGAGACUGGAAUUUACGGUGUAGCGGUGAAAUGCGUAGAUAUCGUAAGGAAGACCAGUGGCGAAGGCGGGUCUCUGGACAGUUCCUAACGCUGAGGCACGAAGGUCAGGGGAGCAAACGGG